CCGACUGCCUCGACGAGCUAA
rnacentral:miRNA from 1 species